UAAGGAUUUAAGUUAUAAAAACUAUCAACCUUCAAAGUUGAAAAUAGAAAAGGUUUUCUAAGCCUUAG
rnacentral:tRNA from 1 species